GUAAAAAAAAAUAAAAAAAAUAAAGUGAGAUAAGGGGAACAAGUACAGGAGAGGCUCAGAGUUUAUCAAUUUAGUUCCUUCUUUAGCUGAAAUUGAUUCAAUUUACGGAUGCAAACUAUUUGACAAGAUCCACUUUCUUCAGUUAUUACAGGUGACAUUUACAAUGUUUACUCUUCGUCAAGGACCGCCUAAGCGAGGGAGAACUAUUAUGGAAACAUAUUACAAACCUCAAUCUAGUCAAAUGACUCAAACAGAAGAAGCAGCAAGAAGCAAUGCUCCAUUUUCAUCUUCACCAAAUGCUAGAAAUCAUGAAGUAGAGUUGUAAACCUUAGACAUUAAGAAGUUGAAGCAAUGGAUAACCAGAGAGUACCUGACGUUGUCUAAAAUGCAUGUCACAAAGAGUCGAAGUGUACCAUUUGUGAAGCUAAUACUGGUCGAUGGUUUUUUCUUUUUGGUAGACCAUGUUUUUUGUACAUUUGUAUCAACCAGACUACUUAUAUACAUAAUGAAAACUCUUUUGUACCGA